rnacentral:rRNA from 1 species
GACUACUCGUGUAUCUAAUCCUGUUUGAUACCCACACUUUCGAGCCUCAGUGUCAGUUGCAGUCCAGUGAGCUGCCUUCGCAAUCGGAGUUCUUCGUGAUAUCUAAGCAUUUCACCGCUACACCACGAAUUCCGCCCACCUCUACUGUACUCAAGACUGCCAGUUUCAACUGCAAUUUUACGGUUGAGCCGCAAACUUUCACAACUGACUUAACAAUCCACCUACGCUCCCUUUAAACCCAAUAAAUCCGGAUAACGCUCGCAUCCUCCGUAUUACCGCGGCUGCUGGCACGGAGUUAGCCGAUGCUUUUUCUUCGGGUACACUCACAACGCCACGCGUGGCGCCCUUUGUUCCCCGACAAAAGAAGUUUACGACGCCUGGCGCCUUCUUCCUUCACGCGGCUUGGCUGGUUCAGGCUCCCGCCCAUUGACCAAUAUUCCUCACUGCUGCCCCCCGUAGG